UACAGAGGGGGCCAGCGUUAUUCGGAAUUAUUGGGCGUAAAGGGCGCGUAGGCGGCCAUGCGUGUCUUCCGUGAAAUCCCUCGGCUUAACCGAGGACGUGCGGAAGAAACUGCAAGGCUCGAGUCCGGAAGAGGGGGGCGGAAUUCCCAGUGUAGCGGUGAAAUGCGUAGGUAUUGGGAGGAACACCAGUGGCGAAGGCGGUCCCCUGGGCCGGAACUGACGCUGAGGCGCGAAAGCGUGGGUAGCAAACGGG
rnacentral:rRNA from 1 species